UUCCCUCUGCUCAGUUUGCUUUAGUUAGUUCUCCUUGAUGGAUGCCUUCCUUUGUAAGGGGUUUCAUCCCAAUCCUUUCAGGAACUUGCUGGUAAUGGUGCUUCAGGUGUCAAGUGCCCAUUGAUGUCUGUGUUUUCAAGCUAGGUAAGUAUUUUUAAUCCAUUUGAUGUGUACUUUAGUCAUGCUGUAUUCUCAGGGGCUAGUUUAGAGAUCUUAAACUAAGAAAUUUAUGCUAUUGCCCUAACUUAGAAUCAACUGGAACAAAAAAUCAGGCUUGUUAAACAAGAGCUAAUCUACAGCAAAUAUUCUUUCCUGACAAUUGUUAUGUUCCUGGCUUUGUUUUGUGUGGCUUGCAUGUUAUGCUAAUAAUUUCAUUUACCUGCAUCUAUGAAAUGUGGGUGUAGUGAUACAAUUUGCAGUCUUUGGGAAUGUGCAAAUUUAGCUUUGAGCCAGGAGUUAGUCUCACUUGAAAUUAAUUUUAUCACCUCAGGGAAAACCCAACAACCUUGAAUUUUGGGACAGUGAGGUUUUUCACGAAUUUUCAUCCAGAUGAAAAAACAGAAAACAGAUGUACAAAACUGUUUUUAUAUAAAAAAAGCCACCCCUCUUUUUUUUAAUUUUUUUUUUUUUUCUGUGUGGCCAUUGCUGGGUUAUUAUGCUUUUAGUGAAGCAAAUAAUUUCACUUCCCCUAUAUGGACAGGACAGCAUGGUUCUGGCUUAAGGAAAUGGGAAAGGACAGAGUGUUCAGCAGUGCUCUCCUAGAGGCUGGCAGGGCUGGCAGCAGCCUGGGAAAUACACUUGGAACCUUGGAAACAGCAGGUUUAGUGGGACAACUUCCAGAAGAAAGGUAUCAGCUUUGAGAACACAUCAGGAGCUGUCAGCACUGCCCAGAGCCAUAAAUAUUUAAUUUAUCUUGACCCUUUUGAUGUUGCCAAUCAAUGCUGUUCUCUUGUGCUGCAGAUCUGGGACUAUUGAGCUGACAGUGAUUCCAGUCAGUUUGUCAAGUGGAACGACAUUCUCUCUCCAGAUUCUGUUCUUUGUGGCCAUGGGAUUCUGUCAGGAGCCUCUGCACACAGUGCACAGCCCGUGUGAAAUUUAUAGCUGCAGUCCUGCUCAGAAGUAGAACAGACCGGCACAAUUAGGACUGUUUAAACCUGCUCUGGACUGAAAACCCAAAAGAGCACUGGGAGCUCACACCUGUGGCCCAUCGGGACCUGGACCUCGGUGUUUUCCAGUGCCACAGAGACUGAUGAGAGACUGGGAGAGCUGAUCUGCAACCCACGGCAGGGACACUCAAUUUUGCCAUCUCUCUUCAGAAGGAAGAAAAUGUUCUCUUCACAUCUAAGGUCCUAAAUGAGGAUUAAGUGUCCCUUGGGACAAGAGCUGCAGGACUCAGAAGGUACAGAAUGUCCUGUCCCAAAAAAGGUCUGCAGACAGUUCUCUUCUCCAUCCUGCUGUGGCAGAGAGGGGGAGCUGAAAGAGGGGAGCAAGAGAGGAGCAUGGUUCAGAUUCUUGGUGGAGGCACUGAACUGGUGGAUGAUGUACUUCACCUUUUUGCAGAGAUCAAAGUUCUAACAUCUGAAAAGAUGAAACCUGUCAACUCCACUGAUGUUACAGCCUGAGUGGGAAGGCCUGUGUUGCCUUUCACUAUCUCAAAAUUUGCCCAUAUCUCUGCUCUUCCAGAGUUGUUGUUUCAGAAAUUACUCCACCAAGUUGUUGUAUUUUUGUGGGGUUUGUGUACCUGACUCACCUAUACUGCUUUGAAUAUUCCAGUCCUUAGGAAUCCAGAGUUGCUUUAUGGUGCAAAAAGCACAUUAGGUUUUCCUUUAUUUUUCCCUUAUAUUCCAUAUGAAUAGUUUUGCUGGGGAAAAAAAAAAA